AUAAACAUCAAAACCUACUUAAGUAGACUUUGUGUUACCAGUCCAGUGCGUUUAUUGAUAUUUUGCUGUACUAACACAUGUGUAUUUAAACAGACGAUGAUUUAAAUACAUGUACUAGGUAUAUGAGAUAAUGAUUUUUUGAAUUCAAAGGGAAAUAAAUACUAGUUGGAAUUAAAAAACAAUCAUGAUGCGUUGGACUUGAAGGGGAAAUAUUGACACAUUCGAAAUCAAAAGGGGCUAAUUACUGUUUAGAAUUCAAAGGAAGACAAGGAUUAUAACGAAUUCAAAGCGAAAUUAUGUAUGGCUAAUUCCGUUACCGACAAUAUCUACGGUUCGUUAACAAUGCUUUGAUAGAUAUGACAUAAUACUAUUUCGCCCAAAUGUACACCGCGGUAAGAUUCAUUAUUGCAUGGAAGACAACUUUGAUAAGGAGGUCGUUUAUCGUUUUCAUCCGUAUCAAAGCACACAACCGAAUUGUAAUAAUGGUCAUCGGAAUAGAAACCUACUUUGAGGCCCAGUUCGUCGGUCGAACAGAUGAACGUCGCGAUUUGCAAGCUGUCUGAAAAAAACAACAAAGAAUGUUCGGAAUUUUCGGGAUGCGAUCUGUUGGUACAUAAAGGCUAGCGAAGGAGUUUUUGGAUAGUGCAUCGGGCCAAUAUGAUGAAUUAGUCUACGUUAACUUGAAGGAGACCAGCGACCUAGCCGCAAUGUACGUCAAUAUAUGCGCCCAGUUGACUGUUUUUGUUGAAUCUCAUCCAAACGAUGUCAAGUCGUGGGAAAGCAUGCUUGUCUGUGCUGUUUCCACUAGAAAAACGCAAUACGUAUUCUUUUUUGACAAUGGCGAAUACUUUAUUGACAAUGAAGCCGAAACUCGCGAACCCCUACAAAAUGUGUUUGUGGCUCUUUUGAAACAGAACAAUAUAAAAGUUAUUUUGACUUCUACAACGAAGUUUCAGCUGGAAAGUUUGCAGCGUAUCUACCACGUGUGUGAGCUGCAACCGCUAAAGCCGACAGAGACGACGGAGUUACUAACAGCCGAAGCGCCGGAGAUGGACUAUGACGAAAACUGGGACCCUAUUGUCGAACUUAGUGAAGGGUUGACGCUUCUGAUUCUCAUGAUAACGUCCGAGCUUCGGGAUGAAGGAGGCAUGUUGACGCCGAAGGACAUGGCGCAACUGCUAGCGGAAUACAGACUGAAGGUCCUUAGUCGAGAGUUUUAUCCGGGGAAAGACAGAGUUGCUGACGUUUACCGGCUGUUCAUCGAUCGCCUGAGCCCCGUGCUGGAGAGACGGUUCUCAGAAUUGGAUUAUAUCCCAGGCUCGUUUACAGCAGAAGAGGCCAGAUCGCUCCUCGCAGGAAAGCUUGGCUUUAAAUAAUAAAGGGUUAAACUAUUCAAAUGUCGCGAUGGCGUGGUGUACAAGUGUUCACCUAGAGAUCUUGAGCUCCAUCGUUCGACCCCCACUGUGAUGGAGUUUGCAAGAUUUUAAGGUCUGAAGACACUAAGUAAUGGUUUUUCAACGGACUGGAGUUUGUCUCAACAAACCUUAUUAAAAGUCUCAAACCUUUCCAAGAAGCCGCAAGCGUUUCUGCCAAACGUUCAACGAGGUAAUGACGAGCAUAUCUCGACGUUAUACGUCACAGGAGUAUGCGAGCGCCUUGGCGGACUUUGCGUUUGAGCAGCCGAACCUGCAGAAGCUGUUGCUGGAGAUACAGUACACGACACAGGACACUUACACGUUCUUUAUACGGAUGGCAACUGAGUCCACACAGUUUAUUGAGCAAUAUCUCGCAGGAAACUCGGAGGAUUUCUACAGUCAAUGUCAUCGUGCAGCAGACCGAUACGGAAAGAAAUGGACAAAGUUGCUGUAGAUCUGGCAGUGGGACACCUGUAUACUUAUGUUAAAAUACUUUAAAUAUAUGGAAUGAUGUAUGAAAUACAUGUACCUAGAUAACAAUAGCUAGACUAGAAUCAUGUUAACUAAUUUAUGUUCACUUAUAUAUACACUAAUUAAUGUGUAAUAUAUGGUAGCUGUAAGUCUGCUGAAUUGUUCGUGAACAUUUAUAUCAACAUUAUUUGUGUGUGUUUGUGGUACAAUAUAUUCAACAUAUAUUCAUGUCCCAUUUAAGUGUCGCAUGAAUAGAUAUCGUUGCGGGAAAUUAAAGUGGAUUAUAAUUUGCCACACACAAAUAGAAAAGAGCAUUUUAUUUUAUAGCGAUAUUUUGUCUGUUUACUCUAAAUGUCAACUUAACUUUAUAAAUCAGAUACUGAUCCUG